CGCCCUGGACCAAAGGCAGGCGCUAAACCGCUGCGCCACCCAGGGAUCCCCCACUUAUAUAAUUCUUGAAGGAACAAAAUUAUAAAAGUGAAAAGCAGAGUUAGUGGUUACCAGGGAUCAAACAGGUGAUAAGGUGGGAGGAAAGUGAGGAUAGCCAUGAGGAAGCCUUAUGAUGAUGGUUCUGCAUCUUGACUGUGUCAAUAUCCGGGUUAUGACACUGCACUACAGUUUGCAAGAUGUUAUCAAUGCAGGAAACUGGUGCAGAAAUUUGCAGUGGAUCACUGAACUGGAGAGAGGAAGGACAAGAGGACACAUCAAAUAGCAACGAGGAAAUGAGCGCAGGAAAGGGAAGAGAGUGACCGAGCAGCAGAAUGCAGCAAGUAUGGCCCUGGAAGUGACCCUUCAUAACUCUGCCACUCAUCCAGUGAACCCAGCAGGCCUCGAGGGCCUCACCUGUGAACUCUGGGUGUUGGACUAAAAACCUCAAGUUCUAGUAUGAAUAUUUCAUCUCUAUGAGUCAACAGCAAGGAGGCCAGAAAUGGGAGCUAGUUGAGCAUCAGAGGUGUCAAUCACAUCUCUUAUCUCUAACAAGGGAAUCCUCCUUCUUCCAGCGAGUGCACAGGGUACAUUGUCUGAUGUUAUCUCCGGGAGCUCCCCUGGGGAAAAAAUUAAUGGUAAACCUCCCAAGGAAAGAAACAGACAUGUAUAGACAGUUGUUUUUAAGUAUGACUGGGUCCAGGAUGCUACAUGAGAAUGUGACCAUUAAGAAGGUUCUGUCUACAGAGACAAUGUUGAAGAAAGAAUUACACAGGCUGGAAAGUGAUGAAGCACCUUCGGGAUGUCACUCCAUCAGAAGCAGUAACAAAUGCAGAGGCACUGCCAGUCAAAUCACAUCCCCCAGAUGUGUUGAAUAUAUCAACACUGACCUGAGAGAGUGAGAAGUAGCCCUUGCCAGAGGCAUGAAUACAAUUUUUAAAAUCAUUUCUUUUACAACAGAUUUAAAAUGGUAUUCUUUCUGCUUUACUUUUAAGUGAGGCAGCUAUAUUUGUUUCCUGCAGUUGCUAUAACAAAUCGGCCCAAACUGGGUGGCUUUAAACAACAGGAAUGCAUUUUCUCAGAGCUCUGGAUGCCAGAAGCCCCAAGUAAGUAUCACUGAGCUGAAAUCAAGGCACCAGCCGGGGUGUGCUCCCUCGGAAGGCUCUGGGACAGAGCAGGUAGGUUCUUGCCUCCUAUAGCUUCUGGUGGCUACUGGUAUUCCUUGCCUUAUGGCCACAGCUCUCUCAACUCUGUCUUCUUGAUUACAUUAUCUCAUCUUGUGUCAGGUCUCCUUCUGCCUUCCUCUUAUAAAGACACUUAGGAUUCAAUUAUGAGUGCACCUGGAUAAUUCAGGAUAAUCUCAAGAUCCUUAGUUUAACCACGUCUUUUGGUAUAUAGGGAAAUGUUCGCCUGAUAUCUUUAGGGGAUAUUUUUCAGCCAACUAUGGUCCCUGAAGGCCAAGAAUGAAUUGCUAGGUGCCAGGCCACUGCAAGACUCAAAAACUAUCUAAAGGGUGAAAAAGAAGAGUAAAACCCCAAACACCAUCACCCACCUGGAAUCGCCCACCUAUAAAGACAGAAAUGGGUGCUGAAGAGGCCAGAGAGGGUCAUAAGGAUGCUGUUCAUUCCCAACCUCCCCACCCCCAUAGAGGAAGACAGAGAGCUUUUCCCUACUCCAACCACGGAGAGUGCUGCCAGGAACAGAGUGGAGCUCGGUAACAGAGUUUUAGCUUGACUGCAACCCCCUGGAGUGUGCAGCUGCACUGGCCUGAGCUGGAGAAGCCAAAGGAUAGAGCAGAGGGACUGCACUAAAUGUGAGUGCUUGCUCAUGGGCCCCUUGGGCCUUGCAAAACCCAUAUGGCUUCCAGGAGGGACACUGGGAUCCAAGAGAAGAACCCACACACAGAGGCCCCAAGUUGGGGGAGCAAGUAUCAUAAGGAGGUGGUCAGAGGAACAGCAUUGCCCCUACCAUUAGGUUCACAACUUGAAGGUGCCUCAAACAGAGAGAAGCAAAAUUGGCCAUCUGCCACGCCCUAUGUAUGACCCACUGUCUGAUUACACCUGUGCCCCUCCAGAAAGACUUCUAGCCCAUUCUCAUACCUCCUUUGCCCCAGCUCCAGCCUCAGAGAAACCGGAGCAGUUUCACACUGCAGGAAUAGGAGGGAAAAUCCUCAUGUUGGACCUGAAACCCAAAGCAGGCACAAAAUUGGGGGAGAAAAGCUUUAGCUUCAGAUGAAGUUUUCAGUUUUGAUGUCUAUGCUGAACUGGCCAUUUUAAUCAUUGAAAUGCUAAAAUUUCAAAGUGAGACCCAUUUAGGGAACUCAGAGGACUCUUUUUUACUAACAGGGACAAAGUCACUGGACCUGCCAGAGUUUUCCCCCAGCAAUGGGGAAUAAACCAGCCCACAGAAUUACCAAAUGGAUUUGCACAUACCAGGGAGAAAAUACAGUGGUUUUCUGCACAUGCCUCAUUAAG